rnacentral:rRNA from 1 species
ACCUACGGGGGGCAGCAGUGGGGAAUAUUGGACAAUGGGGGAAACCCUGAUCCAGCAAUGCCGCGUGAAUGAAGAAGGCCUUAGGGUUGUAAAAUUCUUUUGUUCGUGAAGAUAAUGACGGUAGCGGACGAAUAAGCCCUGGCUAACUCUGUGCCAGCAGCCGCGGUAAUACAGAGAGGGCAAGCGUUGUCCGGAAUGACUGGGCGUAAAGCGCGAGCAGGCGGUUGUUUAAGUUGGAUGUGAAAUCCCCGGGCUCAACCUGGGAACUGCAUUCGAUACUGGAAAACUAGAGGCCGAGAGAGGAAAGCGGAAUGACGAGUGUAGAGGUGAAAUUCGUAGAUAUUCGUCGGAACACCAGAGGCGAAGGCGGCUUUCUGGCUCGGACCUGACGCUCAGGCGCGAAAGCGUGGGGAGCAAACAGGAUUAGAUACCCCGGUAGUCG